rnacentral:rRNA from 1 species
UACGUAGGGUGCGAGCGUUGUCCGGAAUUAUUGGGCGUAAAGGGCUCGUAGGCGGUUUGUCGCGUCGGGAGUGAAAUCCACUGGCUUAACUGGUGGCUUGCUUUCGAUACGGGCAGACUGGAGGUAUGCAGGGGAGAACGGAAUUCCUGGUGUAGCGGUGAAAUGCGCAGAUAUCAGGAGGAACACCGGAGGCGAAGGCGCCUGCCUGGCAGUGUAUUGACGCUGAGGUGCGAAAGUGCGGGGAGCAAACAGG